rnacentral:rRNA from 1 species
CCUACGGGUUGCAGCAGUGGGGAAUAUUGCACAAUGGGCGCAAGCCUGAUGCAGCCAUGCCGCGUGUAUGAAGAAGGCCUUCGGGUUGUAAAGUACUUUCAGCGGGGAGGAAGGUGUUGUGGUUAAUAGCCACAGCAAUUGACGUUACCCGCAGAAGAAGCACCGGCUAACUCCGUGCCAGCAGCCGCGGUAAUACGGAGGGUGCAAGCGUUAAUCGGAAUUACUGGGCGUAAAGCGCACGCAGGCGGUCUGUCAAGUCGGAUGUGAAAUCCCCGGGCUCAACCUGGGAACUGCAUUCGAAACUGGCAGGCUAGAGUCUUGUAGAGGGGGGUAGAAUUCCAGGUGUAGCGGUGAAAUGCGUAGAGAUCUGGAGGAAUACCGGUGGCGAAGGCGGCCCCCUGGACAAAGACUGACGCUCAGGUGCGAAAGCGUGGGGAGCAAACAGGAUUAGAUACCCGUGUAGUC